GGGCUCUGGCUCAGUGGCAGAGCGCUUGCCUAGCAUGCAUGAGGUACUGGGUUUGAUCCUCAGCAACACA
rnacentral:tRNA from 1 species